CGUAGGGUGCAAGCGUUAAUCGGAAUUACUGGGCGUAAAGCGUGCGCAGGCGGUUUUGGAAGUCUGUCGUGAAAUCCCCGGGCUUAACCUGGGAAUGGCGAUGGAGACUGCAAGGCUAGAGUUUGGCAGAGGGGGGUAGAAUUCCACGUGUAGCAGUGAAAUGCGUAGAGAUGUGGAGGAACACCGAUGGCGAAGGCAGCCCCCUGGGUCAAAACUGACGCUCAUGCACGAAAGCGUGGGGAGCAAACAGG
rnacentral:rRNA from 1 species